UGGGGAAUAUUGCACAAUGGGCGGAAGCCUGAUGCAGCGACGCCGCGUGGGGGAUGACGGCCUUCGGGUUGUAAACCUCUUUCAGUGCAGAACAAGGCUCUUUGUGGGUUGAGGGUAUGCGCAGAAGAAGCGCCGGCUAACUACGUGCCAGCAGCCGCGGUAAUACGUAGGGCGCGAGCGUUGUCCGGACUUAUUGGGCGUAAAGUGCUCGUAGGCGGUUUGUCGCGUCUGCCGUGAAAUCCUCGGGCUUAACUGGGGGCGUGCAGUGGGUACGGGCAGACUGGAGUGCGGUAGGGGAGACUGGAAUUCCUGGUGUAGCGGUGAAAUGCGCAGAUAUCAGGAGGAACACCGGUGGCGAAGGCGGGUCUCUGGGCCGUUAUUGACGCUGAGGAGCGAAAGCAUGGGAAGCGAACAG
rnacentral:rRNA from 1 species